rnacentral:rRNA from 1 species
GUAAAACACUUUCAGCAAGGGAAAAAAUUAUAUAAAUAAUACUUAUAUUAACUGAUAUUACCUGCAAAAGAAGUACCGGCUAACUCCGUGCCAGCAGCCGCGGUAAUACGGAGGGUACAAGCGUUAAUCGGAAUUAUUGGGCGUAAAGAGUACGUAGGUGGUAUAUUAAGUCAGAUGUGAAAUACUUAAGCUUAACUUAAGAACUGCAUUUGAAACUAAUAAACUAGAGUUUUAUAGAGGGGAGUAGAAUUCCAAGUGUAGCGGUGAAAUGCGUAGAUAUUUGGAGGAAUACCAGAGGCGAAGGCGACUCCCUGGGUAACUAACUGACACUGAGGUACGAAAGCUUGGGGAGCAAACAGGAUUAGAUACCCUGGUAGUCCAUGCUGUAAACGAUGUCAAUUUGAAGAUUGUCAAUAUCUAUUAUUUUAUUAUAAUUUUCGUAGCUAACGCAUUAAAUUGGACCCCGCACUUGGGGGCAUUUACGAACCAGGCAAGGUUUCACAAACUUCCACAUUGAACUUCGAACG